UACGAAGGGGGCUAGCGUUGUUCGGAAUUACUGGGCGUAAAGCGCGCGUAGGCGGACCUGCAAGUCGGGGGUGAAAGCCCGAGGCUCAACCUCGGAACUGCCUUCGAUACUGCGGGUCUCGAGUCCGGGAGAGGUGAGUGGAAUUCCUAGUGUAGAGGUGAAAUUCGUAGAUAUUAGGAAGAACACCAGUGGCGAAGGCGGCUCACUGGUCCGGUACUGACGCUGAGGUGCGAAAGCGUGGGGAGCAAACAGG
rnacentral:rRNA from 1 species